UACGUAGGGUGCAGGCGUUAAUCGGAAUUACUGGGCGUAAAGCGUGCGCAGGCGGUUUUGUAAGACUGUCGUGAAAUCCCCGGGCUUAACCUGGGAAUGGCGAUGGUGACUGCAAGGCUAGAGUUUGGCAGAGGGGGGUAGAAUUCCACGUGUAGCAGUGAAAUGCGUAGAGAUGUGGAGGAACACCGAUGGCGAAGGCAGCCCCCUGGGUCAAAACUGACGCUCAUGCACGAAAGCGUGGGGAGCAAACAGG
rnacentral:rRNA from 1 species